CAACAAUUAUAUAAUUUACUAAUGUGGUAUACAAAAUGUGAUAUAUAAAACGUUUUUGUUAUUCUUUUGAGGCGUGUGUGACACACGAAGAUCUUGAUUGGUGUUCGUUGUAACUAAUCAAGAUUGAAGACGUAGGCUUCAACAGCAACAGACGGUCAGAGGUCACGCAAUCCAUGCAACAAUUGGCAAUAUGCAUAUCCGAAAAGACAAGGCCAAAGCCAAAGACAAAGCCAAAACUGUCGAAUGCAGCAAAUAUUGAUCGAUCGUGAGGACUCCAGAAGAACGCCACUUUGACUCGUGCAUGCGCACUUGCACACCACUUUUCCCUUUCUGGUUGGCCAUACUAAACUAAAACUGAUCGCUUCUUUCAUUCAUCAAAGUUUUAUAUUAAUCCUAAUCUUCCUUUAAUACGUUUACUAAUGUAAUAAAUCUUUCAUUAAACUAAAGUUAUUACUUUUCGUAUUAAUUAAGGGUAAUGCUACACUUACCAUAUUUUUUAUACCAUAUUUGUAUCACCUCUUCAAUAUAGGAAUGGUUCGCUAACAUAUAUGAAUCUCAUAUCUCUUAAAGAAAUGGUACAAAUGUGAUAUGGAAAAUAUAACAUUUUUUAUUAAUCAAGUAUAAUACAUAGUUUUGUUGCUCGGGCGACUGAGUGGUAGGUUCAUUUCACAAUUCCUUUCAUGAUAAUCUUCCUUCUCAAUUUUCCAUUUGAAUGCAUGAAAAUAAGGACAUGUUGCAUGCACUAGUAUUUGUUGAACAACAGAUUUACAUUAUUUUAUACAUGUCAAUUUAAUUUAGAAUUCAAGCCGUUAUAUAUUUGACUCCCUCCUUAAUCAUGAUAGAUUAGCACAUUUGGGUCUUAGUCAUCAUUUUUCUUUCUAUAAA
rnacentral:lncRNA from 1 species